UGUAACUGGCUUAUAAAGUUUGUUUCCAUUUCCAUUGAAAUAGUAAAUCUUAAGGAGACAUAGGAGUUCACUUUGUUGGUUUCUUGACCUUAAACCAUUUAAAGCUGUAGUAUGUAACCCUGAUACAGAAUAUGUUUUUUUAUGUAUUUGUUAAAACUGUGUGACAGAACAACAUGAGGCAAGUGAUCUGUGAAAAGAUUGAUUUCCUCCUCCCCUCUGAACUGGAAUGCGACGUGCUCCGUAGAAGACCUUAUAUGUUGCCACAGUAGAGCCUCGGGGUUAAAAACAGCCUCCAGCCUGCUGCAGCCACCAUGUUGAGGUGUUUCUUCCAAAACAUAUGAAUAAUGUUGAACUGAUGAACAAAUCUGUUAUGUGAAUAACUGAUUUUAUUUUAGCCUUCUGAAAUCUAAUGAAAUAGAAACAGACAGAGAUUGUCUAAAGAUUUCCAUCUCUAGAGAUUUACCAUGAGGCUAAUUCUGUUCUCACAGACUCCCAUGUUUAUCAAAGUAGUAGCCGACAGCACAAGAGUCACUAAUCUGGUGAAAACCUUUGUUUCACGCUUUGCUUCAUCCAGAGGGUCUGGGCUGACACGUUCUGCCUUUGAAAAUAUUUGUGAUCCUCAUAUGGCCAAAAAUAAAACAUGAGUCUGACACCCCUGUUCUAAACCCAGUGUCCGUAUUCAUGCUGGUUUCUGUAGGUAUGUUUCCUUUUGCUGGGGCUUCAUUUGCAUUUCGGAGCAGUGUGUGUGUUUUUUUGUUUUUUGUUUUUCUAGAAAGCACUUUGAAUCACACUGGGUGAGCUGUGCUAUUUAAAGAGGAACACAUUCCUUUGUUUUGCUUUGACGCAUCGAAUGGAAACUUUGAAUGUAUAGCUAAAUAAAGUAAAUGCGGGUUAUAUUACAAAGUAAGUCAA